GACCUACGUUAUUGACAAUGAAGUAUAUGGUAAUGAUGAUGCUGGUACUGUUGAUAACUACAGGUAGAUAUAUACCAAUAUGAUGUAUUUCAUUUCAGUGCGUUCAAAAAUUCCUUGAUAAAUAAUCAAUUGUCUGUACUAGUUCAUCGGAAAAUGAUGUCAUGUCAAUCAAUCUGGUAUCACAAUGUUUAUCUAAGUAUUCUACAACCUAUUCAUUUAAUUUCAUGUGUUAUGCCUCACGUUGGAUUGCAACUGUUCUCUAAAUACAUAAAGAUAUUUCUCAGGUUUACGUGAGUCAAAUAAUAUGUAAACCAUGCGCACAACCCGAGUUUGUAAAAAUAUAUCAUCCAAAACCAAAUAUAUUAGUUAGUUGUGUUGUCUAUCUUCAUUGUAGCCCAGUAGACAACAUUUAUGUAUUGACAUACACUAUUAUUAGCUCACCAUGGCCGCCAUGACUAAAAAUGGAACAAAGGGGUAUGUAUAUUUUGGCUUAUAACUCUGAAACCAAAGCAUUUAGAGCAAAUCUGACAGGGGUAAAAUUGUUUAUCAGGUCAAGAUCUUUGAUAUUUUCAGAUAAAUCGGACAAUCGAUUGUUGGGUUCCGUUUUCGGUUAUUAUCUUGAAUAUUAUUAUAGAUAGAGAUAAACUUUAAACAGCAAUAAUGUUCAUUAAAGUAAGAUCUACAAAUAAGUCACAUGACCAAAAUGGUCAGUAGACCUCUUAAGGAGUUAUUGCCCUUUAUAGUCAUUUUUUACCAUUUUUUUGUAAAUUUUUGUAAUCUUUUACAAAAAUCUUCUCCUCUUAAACUACUGGGCCACAUUUAACCAAACUUAGCCACAAUUAUUAUUAGGGUAUCUGGUUUAAAGAAUGUGUGCGGUGGCCCAACCAACCAACCAAGAUGGCUGCCAUAGCUUAAAAUAGAACAUAGGGGUAAAAUGUAGAUUUUGGCUUAUAAAUUUGAAACCAAAACAUUUAAGGUAAAUCUUACAAGGGGUCAAGGUGUUUAUCAAGUAAACAUCUAUCUGCCCUCAUAAUUUUCAGAUGAAUUGCACAACUGGUUGUUAGGUUGCUUCCCCUGAAUUGGUAAUUUGUUUGGAAAUUUUUUCGUUUUUGGUUAUUAUCUUGAAUACUAUUAUAGAUAGAGAUAAACUGUAAACAGCAAUAAUGUUCAGCAAAGAUCUGCAAAUAAGUCAAAUGACCAAAAUGGUCAGUUGACCCCUUAAGGAGUUUUCGCCCUUUAUAGUUAAUUUUUAACAAUUUUCAUUAAUUUGGUAAAUUUUGGUAAGUUUUUACAAAAUAUUUUCCUCUAUAACUAAAGGGCCACGUUCUAUACAGUAGAGAAAACUGUAAGUAGCAAGAAUGAUCAAUAAAGUAUGAUCUACAAAGACAUCACCAAAACACAAUUGUGUCAUGAAUCCAUCUGUUUCCUUUGUUUAAUUUGCACAUAGACCAAGGUGAACGACAUAGGCUCUUAAGAACCUCUACUUUAUAUGGUCAGAUUUAUAAAUCAACUGUUAACAAGAUUGAAAAGCUAUAUAUUUUUUUAUUGUUUUAAAAACACAUAAUUGUCAAAUAUUAGGUAACAAGGAUAAAGGUUAUGGGUUUUCUAUGUUUUCUAUGUUUAUCAUUGGAACAAAAAAAGGGUACAUAAUCACAAAGUAAGCUUUAAAACCAGGACUAACUAACCAUUCUCCAUGAAAACUGUUGUUCAAAGUCAAGAAUAUGACAGUUGUUUUCCAUUUGUUCUUUUGUUAUACUAUUUUAAAUUUGUAUUGUUUUUCCUUUCAGAAAUUGUAGACAGUAGUUGUAUUUGCUUUAAAAUUUAUAAACCUGUGUGUUCCACAGCUGGUCGUACCCACAGUAACUUAUGCAGACUGCACUGCGUGUAAGUGUAUUUUAACGAAAGAGACACUACAUCAUUUUACAUGUAAAUGUACUAUUUCAGGUUUCGUUAAAUCAUUUUGUUUAUGUUGUGGCUGGCUAUACACAUUAAGAUACAAAGCGAUAUGAUAUGUUAUAACAUGUAAACAACAUCAUCAAUAAUAUGUACAAUUGAAGUUUAAACCAUAACAGUUACAUGAUCUUUAUAAUUGAUCAAUUAGAUAUUUCAUUAUUUAGUUUAUCAGUUUCUAAUUUACAUCAAGUCACGCCUUAAUAGCACACAAAUUAUGUAUACAUGUCUUUUAUUUGAAAGGCAUUCAAUAAACACGCUAAAUGCAUUACAAUUCAGUUUAUAAAAUCCAAAGACUUAUAAUAUUAUACUUUCUCGAUACUGAUAUUUAUAUCAUUAUUACUGAGAUGAAAAACAAUUGAUUUGGCACAGAAAAUCUCGAUAGAAGUCGCAGGCACAUGAUCUCAUACUAUGAAUUAUAUUUCAGCAAAGAAAUGUUAGCUUGCCAUGGUAAAUUUCCGUGUUCUUAAUAACACAAUGAGAAACGCAAGUAAGUGAAAGCAGAAG
rnacentral:lncRNA from 1 species